UACGUAGGUGGCGAGCGUUGUCCGGAUUUACUGGGCGUAAAGGGAGCGUAGGCGGACUUUUAAGUGAGAUGUGAAAUACUCGGGCUCAACUUGAGUGCUGCAUUUCAAACUGGAAGUCUAGAGUGCAGGAGAGGAGAAUGGAAUUCCUAGUGUAGCGGUGAAAUGCGUAGAGAUUAGGAAGAACACCAGUGGCGAAGGCGAUUCUCUGGACUGUAACUGACACUGAGGCUCGAAAGCGUGGGGAGCAAACAGG
rnacentral:rRNA from 1 species